UGUGUGGUGAGUUCCCUGUAGAUAUAAGAUGCUAUAAAUGUUCUAUUUCCUAUGUGACGUCUCAGUGAUCUGCACCUGACACUGCUCCUACUGUCAGUAUGGGGAGAUACUUACUGCUUGUCCUCUCCGCUCUCUUCUCUCUCUCUGUUCCAGGUUCCUAUGGGCAGAUUUUGACUCAGUCUCCAGAUUAUGUCUCUGCGUCACCAGGAGAAACUGUCACCCUCACAUGUAAAGCCAGUAGCAAUGUUGGCAAUUGGAUAGCCUGGUACCAACAGAAAUCAGGGCAGGCACCAAAGCCGCUGAUCUAUGAUGCAAACACCCGACACACAGGGACCCCAGAGCGGUUCAGCGGCAGUGGGGGUGGAACUCAUUUCACUCUUACAAUCAGCAGAAUGGAAGCAGAAGAUGCAGCAGAUUAUUACUGUCAGACGAUUUACAACGGGUCACACAGUGAUACAGAGCUGAACAAAAACCUCCCUGUUACUGUGCCAGUGAGUUAUUUACAUGAUACUCUAUAAAGCUACAGAGCAUGACAUGAUAUUCUCAGUAGGGGAAGACUUGGCACAAAUAUAUCACAGCUGUCCCAGAGUGGGUUAAAUAUAAUAACAAUUAUUGUGUUUUGACCUGAGUAAUAACAUUGUAUACUGACAUUGGCAUCUAGAUAUAGAGAUAUGCAAAUACAGGAGAACCCUCAUUUUACGUUUUUUAUGGGAAUGGUGUAAAAUCAGGGAAAUUCGUUUGAGCAACUGAAGCUUCAGGCAUGGGGAGGCCCAUUUAUGAAAGGUCAAAUUUCAACUCCCUUGAACUCGAAAUUCGGCCAAUUGAAAUUUUUUUCAAAAAUCGAAUUUGUUAAAUAGGAUCAAUCCGAAAACUAGUAUUGAAUUCUAAUCGAAUUCAAUUUGAGUUUUAAAAACUAGAUUCCAGUUUUUUCUCUGAAAAAACUCGAAUGUCA